CCUACGGGAGGCAGCAGUGAGGAAUAUUGGUCAAUGGUCGGGAGACUGAACCAGCCAAGCCGCGUGAGGGAGGAAGGUACAGAGUAUCGUAAACCUCUUUUGUCAGGGAACAAAGGCGGGGACGUGUCCCCGGAUGCGUGUACCUGAAGAAAAAGCAUCGGCUAACUCCGUGCCAGCAGCCGCGGUAAUACGGAGGAUGCGAGCGUUAUCCGGAUUUAUUGGGUUUAAAGGGUGCGCAGGCGGGCUGUUAAGUCGGCGGUAAAAGCCCGGGGCCCAACCCCGGACCGCCGUUGAAACUGGCAGUCUUGAGUUGAGGAGAGGUAUGCGGAAUGCGCGGUGUAGCGGUGAAAUGCAUAGAUAUCGCGCAGAACUCCGAUUGCGAAGGCAGCAUGCCGGCUCCACACUGACGCUGAGGCACGAAAGCGUGGGUAUCGAACAGGAUUAGAUACCCGGGUAGUC
rnacentral:rRNA from 1 species